CCUUCGGGUGGCAGCAGUGGGGAAUAUUGCACAAUGGGGGAAACCCUGAUGCAGCGACGCCGCGUGAGUGAAGACGUAUUUCGGUAUGUAAAGCUCUAUCUGCCGGGAAGACAAUGACGGUACCUGAUUAAGAAGCCCCGGUUAACUACGUGCCAGCAGCCGCGGUAAUCCGUAGGGGGCCAGCGUUAUCCGGAUUUACUGGGGGUAAAGGGAGCGUAGACGGAGGGACAAGGCUGGAGGGAAAUGCCGGGGCUUAACCCCGGAACUGCCUUGGAAACUGUGCAGCUAGAGUGCAGGAGAGGUAAGUGGAAUUCCUGGUGUAGCGGUGAAAUGCGUAGAUAUUAGGAGGAACACCAGUGGCGAAGGCGGCUUACUGGACUGUAACUGACGUUGAGGCACGAAAGCGUGGGGAGCAAACAGGAUUAGAUACCCCUGUAGUC
rnacentral:rRNA from 1 species